AGUGAAAUAUAGGGACAUACAUGUCCAUUUAUAUAUAUAUAUAUAUAUAUAGAUAUAGAUUAAAAUGUUAGUACUUACUAUUUUUGUAAUCAUUCAAAAAAUAUAUACCCUGAUAAAUGAGGGUUUACAAAACUGAGAUUAAACGUAGACAUUUGCAAAAGAGCAAGUUAAAAAACCAUACAUGUUUGUGAUAAUGCACGAAAAUCGCAGCGUGAACCAGUUCAAGCGGUUCUACUAGAGAACGCAAGCCAAAAGCUAAAGCCAACCGCCAUUACCUGGUCGGUAUCAAUACAUAAUAUACGGUACUUCUUUUCAUCUUUUUCCCUUUUUGUCCGGAGAGCACUUUUUUGGGGCCACCGUGGAUUUAACCAGGCCCGUAAUGGACGAGAGACGGUCCCGACAUAUCCGGAACAGACAGCUGACGAAAAAUGUCUGGAAAGUUCCCCGAAUUCGAUCUCGGAUUUCCCAAAACGGCAAGCCGGCGCCUUUACCGUCUCGGUCAUCCAGUCGUAUAAAUAUAGUAUUAUAAAUAACAAACAUUAUUUAAAUAAUUAAAAUACACAAGAAAGUAAUUUUAAAACAGAACUUAUUUAAGAAGAAAAAAAAAUUCCUCCAUAAAGAAAUGAUAUCAAGAGCAACAAUGUUCUUGUGCGGUAAUUUCGAUUUGUUAUAUAGAACUUCGGUUGUAAAGUAUAAAAUUUUGAAACGAUUUUUGACUAAAGAAUUUAUUUCUGUCUGGAGAAAAAGUUAGUAAACGUUAAUGACAUCAUUCUUAUUGUAUAAUUGAUAUAAAUGACGUCCGGUUUGUUGCAGAGAGAUCUGGCAAGCACGGGAAGAGACGUAAGAGCAGAGAUCGCUGGGGGACAAGAAGGAUCCGAAAUAAAAUACUUAAAAAUUCAACAAUUAAAAGUUUGCAAGGAUUUGUCACCAGGGGGAGGCUACAGAAAUUACUUUUACCAGUGCACUUCUCCAGUAGUUAUAAAGGUGCGAAAAUUCCCGAAUGGAAAGAAUGAAGAAACAGGAAGAUAGCUGUAAGAUCCACUGAUUCCAAUUUUAACUUUAUAAUUUUAAUUGGAUAUUUUUCUGUGUUUUUUAAAGGAAUGCUUUUAAACUUGAUGCCAAGCAGACUAAAAAAGAAUGUCAGGUUGUCAGAAGUUUAUGUUCUGGAACACGUGAAGUGAAUAAAAAUGGUGGUUUACCAAUUUUUCGCACAGUCUGUUCUAUGGAGAAAUUCAAAACAGAUUUAAUAUCCCAAUCAAAGAAUUACAAUUUUUUCCAACAAGCCUUAUCAGCUGUUCAAAAAUAUGUGGAGGACUACAUAUAAAUAAUUGGAGGACUGCAUAAUCUUCGAAAACCUCUAUCUUCAAAGAAAAUAGUUUUAUACCACCAUACAGGAAAAUAGUUUUAUGAAGACCAUCUAAAAAAUAUCUCUCAUCCUAAGUUACUCAUUGAGUUCAAUUUGCUAUUAAUCUUAAAGGAAUAAUGUAUAAAUGCAUAGAAACAGGACAUAAAUAUGAUUUUAAAGAUUUUUUUUUACCAGUUACGCUGAAAGAGUUUUAUCUCCAUUUUUUGGCUUGGAAACAUGUCGAUAAUGCGAUAGAAAAAAUUCUAAGAGACAUAUAGAUCGCUGUUAUAUUAGGUAGUGGAUAGGUAAUUCAUAAAUUAAAUUUCACAGCCGUUUAUAGAUCGUGAUAUGAUGGUGUGGUUCUAUAAUUUUACCCAAAAAAAUGAGUGAACAAAAAAUGUCUUUUAAAUAUUCACUGUAAAGAUGAUAAUGUUUCGUUAAGUAUCUACUUAUAGAAAAUACUUAAAAUUUAUUAAUAGUUUGAAUUAGUGCUGUGCGAUGUCUAUAAUUUUAACAUCGAUGUUUGCCUAAGCAUCAAUGCUAAAUUUCAAUGUCGGAUUUCACAUCGAUGUUUGGUCAAUGCCUAGUGGAACAUUGAUGUUCAAUCAAGAUAAACUCAAACAAUUUAAAAAAAAAAACAAAACUUAAUUUUAUUUUCAAUAUGUAUAGUUCAAUUACAGUUCCAAUGCAUAUAGUUCUUCAAUUGAUAAUGAAUUUAAAACUAGAAGUUUGUGUACAUUCUUUGGCUUUAAAGAACUCCGCUUUUUGUUGAUAGUAUUUCCAGCUUUGGAAAAUAAUCUUUCUGCUGGAACUGAAGUGGCAGAAAUGCAAAGCCACUUUAUGGCAAGUUCACAUAAAUUAUAGUUUAAAACAUUUCGUGGAUUUCCACACAUCCAAAGCAUUAUUAUUGUGAGGCACAAUAGGGGCAUCUAAAAAAGUUUUAAAAUUUGAAUUUAAAGUUCCAUUUGUGUUAACAUUUUCUAUCUUAAUAUCAGUUUUUCUGGAUGACCGAAGGUCACCUUCAAGUUGAUUUUCUGCAUUAUUGUGAAAACUUAUUUGAGCCUCAGCAGAGGGAAAUUUACAAAGUUCUGCAUUUACAUGUUUAAUUGCAUUUUCACAACAUGCUGGACUUUUAAAAUCUAGCUUUUUAAACCUUGGGUCUCGUAAUGUGGAAACACUAUAUAUUAACUUCGUCUCAGUGUAUUUAAAACAGAAAUCAAGAUUACUAAAACAUUUUUCCAGUAACUUCUUUCCCACAUUUGUUUCUGUAGAAACCUUGCAAAGUGUAUUAAACAUUAACCCUAAAAAUGGGAUAAUUUUACUGAUGAUAGUGUGAGUUUCUGCUGAAAUCUCAUUAGUUACUUUAUAAAAAGGUUUUAGUACUUUAAGCGCAUCAUUCAAAGCACUUAAUUCUCUACCAAGAGCAUGUCAGGUGCCCUUGGAAACUUGCAAUGUUAGUGUAACAAAAUUUUUUAGUAGUACAAAUCUCUCAAUCAUCAAGAAAUAUGAAUUCCAUUGAGUCUCAACAUGUUGAAUUAAUUUUAAUGUCACAGAACCUUUUUCAUUCUGCGAUGAGUUUGUUCUUUGUUGUUACUUUUCAAGCUCCUGUGUUGCAUUUUUAUUUUGAUUAAAGAAUGUGAUUAUUGACUUUACCUUGUCUAGUAUUAUGUUCAGUUCAGGUACUUGUCUUAAGGAAUCUUGCACCAUCAGAUUUAAUGUAUGUGCAAAGCAAGAAACAUGCUUUUCUUUACCAAUAAACAGCUCAAUAGAUUUCUUAACAUUUGCAGCAUUAUCUGUAACACAAGCUACAAUAUUAGAUUUAUCUAUUUUCCAAAAAACAAUCAACUCGUUUAGCACAGAACACAAGUAUUCAGCUUUGUGUGACUGAGUUAAAUAAGUCAUUCCUAGCACGUAUGAUGUAUGUCUGAAAUCCCUGAUGAAGUGUACAGUUGUGCCCAUGUAACUUCGGUGGUUCGGAGUGGUUCAGGUCCACUCAUCACAAGUCAGUGCACAAAAUUUUAAAUUGGCAUUCAUUCCGCAUGUAUUUAACAGCAGCUUCAUAUUAACUGUCUAUGUGCUUUGUAAUCAUUGCCCGAUGUGGAACUUGAUAUCUUGGUGCUGCUGUUGCCAAGAACUUCUUAAACUCUUCUCCGCUCACAAUAUCUACAGGACGAUUAUCCAUUACUAACCAUAAAGUUAGUGCCUUCGAGACUGCUUCAGCCUUAUGUCCUCCUAAGUAAAGGCAUAUAGAUAUAUUUAGAUUAUAAAUUAUCUAAAAAUUAUGAAGUGGUCACGGAGUUGAUAAAUUCACUCAUUAAAUGUAAUAUAAUUACACUUAUGUAAAAUCAGACAAUCGGGUUAAAGCAUUCAUUGAUUGUUGACUGUGUACACAAUGACGUUGACGAACAUAUGCUGCUAAGCCUACAUAGGCUAUUCUGAUUGUUGUCAACUUCAGCUUGGUUUUCCAGUUCGUCUAUUUCCUUGCGACUUCUUUUAUGUUGGAGUAGUUUUAAUGGCAAUUCAAAUGUGGCAUGAAAUAUGUGGUGUUGCCAGUAACUUUAAGCCAUUUAAGACAAAUUAAACACUGAGCCUUGUCACCUUCCUUGUUUUUCUUAAAAUAUUUCCAAAUCUUGGAAAAAUGCUUCGCACAUCACCCAAAGUAGCCAUGAUACUGAAUACGAAUGCACAUCACACGAGGUGGAACAAAGAAUGAACUGCAUGCAUAUCGAUGAAGCAAAAUUCAGAUAUUGCUAACAUCGAUUCAGGAUCGAUGUUUCAAAAACAUUGGAAGGUUGAUGCAUCGAUGAACAAAAACAGUGAUGCAUCGCACAGCACUAGUUUGAAUUUAAAAUUUCCUGUUUUUGAAAAACCAAAAUUGUUUUUAAUGUUAUCAUUGUAAUCCUUCUUUUGAUGUAAAUGUUCUUUUUUAUUCAAAUAAAAGAGAGAUAGUAUCGUUGUUGUCGUUUAUUUAAACAAAACAUACACCACUGCGACGUAUAUAUAGCAUAAAAGAAUAGAUAAAAUGUAAAAUAAUGAGUAGCUUGUUCUGAUUCGCGGCGGCCUUGUAAUGGGUAAGCCUAUAGGAAUGGACUACUCAUUGCUUUUUUUUAAUAUCAAAAUAAUAAUUUCAUUGGCAGAUGGCACCAUAAUAAAUAUAUUUAUUUAAAUUUUAUAUUUUAAUACAGUGGG